rnacentral:misc_RNA from 1 species
GAUGAAGAACGUAGCGAAAUGCGAUAAGUAGUGUGAAUUGCAGAAUUCAGUGAAUCAUCGAAUCUUUGAACGCACAUUGCGCCCCUUGGUAUUCCAUGUGGCAUGCCUGUUCGAGCGUCAUUUGUACCCUCAAGCUUUGCUUGGUGUUGGGCGUCUUGUCGUAUUACGACUCGCCUUAAAUACAUUGGCAGCCGGCACUUUGGCCUAGGAGCGCAGCACAUUUUGCGAUCGUAGCCCGUUGUACUGGCGUCCAUCAAGAACAUUUACCACGUUUGACCUCGGAUCAGGUAGGGAUACCCGCUGAACUUAAGCAUAUCAAUAAGCGGAGGA